UUGUUGUAUGUUUCUGCCCGUGGUGAGAACGACAUUUUUUGUAUCGAGGGCGGAAAGUGCAACUUUCCGCCCGUGGGGACACUUUUCGCCCGCCAAUUACUUUCCGCCCUAGGGCGGGAACAAACUUUGGGCCCGGCAGGGCCACAAUGUUUCUUCCCACCCGUGGGCGGAAAGUGUGCCCUAGGGCGGAAAGCACUCCGCCCGAGGGACGAAAAAUAUUUCUUUAACCAUUUUUACGAACAUAUAGGCGUACACGAAAAAAACACGUACAAUUCUAAAUGAAAAAAAAAAAAAAAAAAAAGAAAUUACGUUCUUUAAUCUCUUAAAAAUAAUUUUUUGAAAAAAAAUCGUCAAUGCAAAGUGUCAGGUGUUAUGAGUAGCCAGCAUCAGCUCAACUUUCAACCAUUUGUAUAAAAUUCGGUAAUAUAUAUAUAGGUAACAGGGCCCGAAGCGGGGGCAUCACGAUGCUUAAUAACGGUCACUGAUUUCACCAUUUUCACUAAUUCACGAUCUCACCAAACCAAUUUAACCAAUGGAUCAAUGCGGAUUAAAAAGAGAAACGAGGACAGAAAACGUAAGCGUCGCAGCGCCUCCAGGUGUACGCGUCAUUUACUAUUUUCUAUUUGUGCAUCGUCCAAUCAUUGGCUAAAAUAUUAUGCCAAUAACCUUUAAACUUUUAAAUAUGCAAAUAAAUACAUACCUACUAAGUACAUGAGUAAAUAUACCUGUGUCUCCUCAUUUCGUGACUUCUAGUAUAGUUCUAGUGAAUAGUACCAGAUAUUAGAUAUAGUACUAAUUACCUGUACUGUUCGCUCUUCGAUCCAAAUUCGAUGUCGUGAUGUCGUGUUUCUGAGGCUGCCUUUCUACAUUUCUGCCAUUGUUAAUCUUUGCAGCGUGAGCGUACCUAUAUAUACUGUGUGUUACGGUGAUAUAUGUGUACAAGUUGAUGUUGCCAACAGGAGCAGAAUAGCAGAUGUAGUGGCUAUUAGUGCUGUUGGCUGUACAGUCACGCGUGAAAAGGAGUCCAUCACAAGACGAGGGAUAUGGUAAAAAAAAGUCUCGAGAAGCAGAAUAAGAACAGCUAAAAAGCAACUUUUGGAGAAAGAGACGAGAUAUCCAAAUAGUGUAUAAGUGUAUGCGUGCAUGCUUAAGUUCCUAGAUCACCCCGAUCGAGGAUUGUGGAGUUUGGAGAGAGGACUGUUCACUGGAGUGAUUGAAUUUUAAGUGUCUAACGUGCCCUCCGCCAUAUCGUUUCAUUAUACGUUUCAUACAUACUUAUUCCAAGCACACAGAAAAAACCAAAUAAGUGUGCCGUACAAGUAACAAAAGCUUCCAUCAAUAACAUGGGCCGCUACAGGAGCCGUAGCCGUGACAGAGACAGGAGAAGGAGAUCUCGCAGUCGCUCCCGCAGCCGAUCACCUAGAGAUAGACGAGGCUGGGGUGGCGGUCACAGGGACAGAGGUGGUGGCGGUAGAAGUGGUAGAGGUCAACCAGGAGCUAAUUUGAAAAAACCAAGAUGGGAUAUGAACCGACUAGAGCCAUUUAAGAAAGAUUUUUACGUACCUUGCGAUUCGGUACAAAACAGAGAUCCUCGAAUCGUCGAGCAAUACAGGAGUGAAAAGGAGAUCACACUUAGGGGAAAGGGCAUUCCAAAUCCAGUUUUUACCUUUGAAGAGGCUGGCUUUCCAGAAUACGUUAUGAGAGAAAUCAAACGGCAAAGUUUCAAAGAGCCUACAUCUAUUCAAGCGCAAGGAUGGCCGAUUGCCCUAAGUGGAAGAGAUAUGGUCGGAAUAGCCUCCACUGGCUCAGGAAAAACCCUUUCAUACAUCUUACCAGCAAUUGUACAUAUCAAUAGUCAGCCUAAGCUUCUUCGUAAAGAUGGACCAAUUGCCUUGGUGCUUGCUCCAACACGAGAACUUGCUCAGCAAAUUCAGCAAGUUGCUGAUGAUUUUGGACAUUCCUCAGGAAUCAGAAACACGUGUCUUUAUGGUGGUGCUCCAAAGGGUUCCCAAGCUAGAGAUUUGGACGGCGGGGUAGAAAUUGUGAUAGCAACUCCUGGUCGAUUGUUAGAUUUUCUUGAGUCAGGCAGAACAAACUUGAAAAGGUGUACUUAUUUGGUAUUGGAUGAAGCAGACAGAAUGCUGGACAUGGGUUUUGAACCUCAAAUUAGAAAAAUUAUUGAACAAAUAAGACCAGAUAGACAAACCUUGAUGUGGUCUGCAACAUGGCCUAAGGAGGUUAAAAACUUGGCUGAAGAGUUUUUAAAAGAUUAUGCUCAAAUUAAUGUUGGUUCUCUACAGUUAUCUGCGAACCAUAAUAUUCUUCAAAUCAUUGAUGUUUGUCAGGAGUAUGAAAAAGAAAUCAAGCUAAGUACACUCCUAAAAGAAAUCAUGGCGGAAAAAGAAAACAAAACUAUUGUAUUUAUCGAGACGAAACGAAGGGUUGACGAAAUUACCAGGAAAAUGAAGCGAGAUGGUUGGCCUGCUGUAUGUAUUCACGGGGACAAGACUCAACAAGAAAGAGACUGGGUUUUACAAGAUUUCAGGUCUGGUAAGGCUCCUAUACUUGUCGCCACUGAUGUAGCAGCCAGAGGAUUAGAGGCACUUUGCGCGCAGGCCCACGCCGGGUAAUGCAAAUAGCAUUCAUUGGAAGGUGCCUCCGCCGUCUGUUAGACCGGCGGUGCACCCUGGUUUGCAUUGUCUGCGCUGCGGCUGCUGCGCGUGCCUCUAGUCUCCUGCAGCCGUCGGUGCCCAGGGCGCCGCUGCAAUGAGUGGCGCACUCUUGCCUUGCUCGAGAGAAAGGGUGAGAGGGAAAGAGAGACGAUGGGGGCGGGCCGAGCCGGUGAAUUCAAAGGUGCCGCCGGCCACGGUCAGGACGGUGGACCCACGUACGAGAUACGAAAGAGAAAAUAAUGAAAUUUAGAGAUAGAAAGGAAUCUAAAGAAACCAAAAAAAAAAGAAAGACGCCGGGCAGUUUGCAGCGAUCAUCCCCGUGCCAUCGUUAGCACGUGGCCCUCCCGAUGCCUGGUCCUCUCUGCUUGGCUAUCCCUGUGGCCGUCGAUGAUCGGUCAGUCAGCCCAGCAGCCAGCCACCUACUAACUGGCGUCCCCCAAGCCAAAUUGCUUGCUCUCCAAUUCGGCGAUCAGAGGUUGAGCGACUGGCAGACGACCGUACGAGAACAUACUCUGCCUCGCCUUCUCCUCGCACCCGCCGUCUACGCAAUUUCUUGCGUAAUGGAGUCAGCUCGGUUGCUGCUGUUGCUACCAGCCUGGCUUGUGAUCUACUGAGGCCGUCUGAACGACGGGACAACACGCAAAGUCGAUCAAGGUGACGGUGUAGGUGUCACUGCUGACUUCUGAUGCUUCUCUCGGAGGCGUUUCAACGCCAGCUGCGGGGAUAGGAUUCCCUCCCUGCUGUCGUCACCGCCAUCAUUAUCGUCACUUUUGCAGGCUUCCCUCUCUCGCCCUACUGAGGGGGGACCCGUAUUUUCUCGAUUAAAUAACUAUGUUGAAGAUGUAAAAUUUGUUAUUAACUUCGAUUAUCCAUCAUGCUCGGAGGACUACGUACAUCGGAUUG
rnacentral:misc_RNA from 1 species